UGAAAAAGGAAGGGAUCGAGCGAUGACAACCAGGAGGUGGGCUUGGAAGCAGCCAUCCUUCGAAGAAAGCGUAAUAGCUCACUGGUCUAGCUCCAUGGCACUAAGCGGGCUCUAA
rnacentral:ncRNA from 1 species